rnacentral:rRNA from 1 species
CACAGGCCACUAUUGGAUGUGGUUUUAAACAGUUAGUCUUCAUAAGAGUCAAAUGCUUUUAUGUUUAAGGAUAAGCUGUGAAUGUACCAAGUUUACUUGGAAAUUGUGUGAUUUCACGCUGCUGAAAAAAGUUUCGUAGGAAGAAAAUAUUGCCCGUACCGCAAACCGACACAGGUACUCAAGUGGAGAACACUAAGGUGAGCGAGUGAACUAUUGUUAAGGAACUCUGCAAAAUGAGUCCGUAACUUCGGAAGAAGGACUGCUGGUUUUAUACCAGCCGCAGCAAAUAGGCCCAAACAACUGUUUAUCAAAAACACAGGUUUCUGCAAAAUCGUAAGAUGAAGUAUAGGGGCUGACGCCUGCCCAGUGCUGGAAGGUUAAAAGGAGGACUUAGCUUCGGCGAAGGUCUUAAUUGAAGCCCCAGUGAACGGCGGCCGUAACUAUAACGGUCCUAAGGUAGCGAAAUUCCUUGUCGGGUAAGUUCCGACCCGCAUGAAAGGCGUAAUGAUUUGGGCGCUGUCUCAACAAUAGACUCGGUGAAAUUUAAAUUCCAGUGAAGAUGCUGGGUACCCGCGACAGGACGGAAAGACCCCGUGGAGCUUUACUGUAGCUUGAUAUUGAAUGUUUGUGCUGCAUGUGCAGGAUAGGUAGGAGACUUUGAAGUCGGAACGCUAGUUUCGAUUGAGUCACCCUUGAGAUACUACCUCUGUUGUAUGAACGUUCUAACUCUGAUCAGUUAUCCUGAUCGAAGACAGUGUCUGGCAGGCAGUUUGACUGGGGCGGUCGCCUCCUAAAAGAUAACGGAGGCGCUCAAAGGUUUGCUCAGAAUGGUUGGAAAUCAUUCGUAGCGUGUAAAGGCAUAAGCAAGCUUGACUGUGAGACUGACAAGUCGAGCAGGUACGAAAGUAGGACUUAGUGAUCCGGUGGUUCCGUAUGGAAGGGCCAUCGCUCAACGGACAAAAGCUACCCCGGGGAUAACAGGCUCAUCUCCCCCAAGAGUCCACAUCGACGGGGAGGUUUGGCACCUCGAUGUCGGCUCAUCGCAUCCUGGGGCUGUAGUCGGUCCCAAGGGUUGGGCUGUUCGCCCAUUAAAGCGGUACGCGAGCUGGGUUCAGAACGUCGUGAGACAGUUCGGUCCCUAUCCGUCGUGGGCGCAGGAAAUUUGAGAGGAUCUGUCCUUAGUACGAGAGGACCGGGAUGGACAUACCUCUGGUGUACCAGUUGUUCUGCCAAGAGCACCGCUGGGUAGCUACGUAUGGAUUAGAUAAUCGCUGAAAGCAUCUAAGUGAGAAACUAACCUCGAGAUGAGAUUUCCCAUUCGUCAGAAGUAAGACCCCUGAGAGACGAUCAGGUAGAUAGGCUAGAAGUGGAAGUGUAGUGAUGCAUGGAGCGGACUAGUACUAAUAGGUCGAGGACUUAACCAAG